rnacentral:rRNA from 1 species
UUUUCCGCAAUGGGCGAAAGCCUGACGGAGCAAUGCCGCGUGACGGUAGAAGGCCUACGGGUCAUGAACUUCUUUUCCCGGAGAAGAAACAAUGACGGUAUCUGAGGCAUAAGCAACGGCUAACUCUGUGCCAGCAGCCGCGGUAAGACAGAGGAUGCAAGCGUUAUCCGGAAUGAUUGGGCGUAAAGCGUCUGUAGGUGGCUUUUCAAGUUCGCCGUCAAAUCCCAGGGCUUAACCCUGGACAGGCGGUGGAAACUACCAAGCUGGAGUACGGUAGGGGCAGAGGGAAUUUCCGGUGGAGCGGUGAAAUGCGUAGAGAUCGGAAAGAACACCGACGGCGAAAGCACUCUGCUGGGCCGACACUGACACUGAGAGACGAAAGCUAGGGGAGCGAAUGG